rnacentral:rRNA from 1 species
AGCGAACGCUGGCGGCAGGCCUAACACAUGCAAGUCGAGCGCCGUAUUAAUACGGAGCGGCAGACGGGAGAGUAACACGUGGGAACGUGCCCUUUGGUUCGGAACAACCCAGGGAAACUUGGGCUAAUACCGGAUAAGCCCUUACGGGGAAAGAUUUAUCGCCGAAGGAUCGGCCCGCGUCUGAUUAGCUAGUUGGUGGGGUAAUGGCCCACCAAGGCGACGAUCAGUAGCUGGUCUGAGAGGAUGAUCAGCCUCACUGGGACUGAGACACGGCCCAGACUCCUACGGGAGGCAGCAGUGGGGAAUAUUGGACAAUGGGCGCAAGCCUGAUCCAGCCAUGCCGCGUGGGUGAUGAAGGCCCUAGGGUUGUAAAGCCCUUUCGGCGGGGAAGAUAAUGACGGUACCCGCAGAAGAAGCCCCGGCUAACUUCGUGCCAGCCGCCGCCGUAACAC